rnacentral:rRNA from 1 species
GUCAACGCGAAGAACCUUACCAGGUCUUGACAUCCCGAUGCUAUUUCUAGAGAUAGAAAGUUACUUCGGUACAUCGGUGACAGGUGGGUGCGAUGGUUGUCGUCAGCUCGUGUCGUGAGAUGUUGGGUUAAGUCCCGCAACGAGCGCAACCCCUAUUGUUAGUUGCCAUCAUUCAGUUGGGCACUCUAGCGAGACUGCCGGUAAUAACCGGAGAAGUGGGGAUGACGUCAAAUCAUCAUGCCCCUUAUGACCUGGGCUACACACGUGCUACAAUGGUUGGUACAACGAGUUGCGAGUCGGUGACGGCGAGCUAAUCUCUUAAAGCCAAUCUCAGUUCGGAUUGUAGGCUGCAACUCGCCUACAUGAAGUCGGAAUCGCUAGUAAUCGCGGAUCAGCACGCCCGCGGUCCGAAUACGUUCCGGGCCUU